CAGUAGCCGCGGUAAAACGUAGGUGGCAAGCAUUGUCCGGAAUUAUUGGGCGUAAAGGGCUCGCAGGCGGUUUCUUAAGUCUGAUGUGAAAGCCCCCGGCUCAACCGGGGAGGGUCAUUGGAAACUGGGAAACUUGAGUGCAGAAGAGGAGAGUGGAAUUCCACGUGUAGCGGUGAAAUGCGUAGAGAUGUGGAGGAACACCAGUGGCGAAGGCGACUCUCUGGUCUGUAACUGACGCUGAGGAGCGAAAGCGUGGGGAGCGAACAGGAUUAGAUACCCGGGUAGUCCCUGUCUCUUAUAC
rnacentral:rRNA from 1 species